UUAAGCGACUAAGCGUACACGGUGGAUGCCCUGGCAGUCAGAGGCGAUGAAGGACGUGCUAAUCUGCGAUAAGCGUCGGUAAGGUGAUAUGAACCGUUAUAACCGGCGAUUUCCGAAUGGGGAAACCCAGUGUGAUUCGUCACACUAUCAUUAACUGAAUCCAUAGGUUAAUGAGGCGAACCGGGGGAACUGAAACAUCUAAGUACCCCGAGGAAAAGAAAUCAACCGAGAUUCCCCCAGUAGCGGCGAGCGAACGGGGAGCAGCCCAGAGCCUGAAUCAGUGUGUGUGUUAGUGGAAGCGUCUGGAAAGGCGCGCGAUACAGGGUGACAGCCCCGUACACAAAAAUGCACAUGCUGUGAGCUCGAUGAGUAGGGCGGGACACGUGGUAUCCUGUCUGAAUAUGGGGGGACCAUCCUCCAAGGCUAAAUACUCCUGACUGACCGAUAGUGAACCAGUACCGUGAGGGAAAGGCGAAAAGAACCCCGGCGAGGGGAGUGAAAAAGAACCUGAAACCGUGUACGUACAAGCAGUGGGAGCACGCUUAGGCGUGUGACUGCGUACCUUUUGUAUAAUGGGUCAGCGACUUAUAUUCUGUAGCAAGGUUAACCGAAUAGGGGAGCCGAAGGGAAACCGAGUCUUAACUGGGCGUUAAGUUGCAGGGUAUAGACCCGAAACCCGGUGAUCUAGCCAUGGGCAGGUUGAAGGUUGGGUAACACUAACUGGAGGACCGAACCGACUAAUGUUGAAAAAUUAGCGGAUGACUUGUGGCUGGGGGUGAAAGGCCAAUCAAACCGGGAGAUAGCUGGUUCUCCCCGAAAGCUAUUUAGGUAGCGCCUCGUGAAUUCAUCUUCGGGGGUAGAGCACUGUUUCGGCUAGGGGGUCAUCCCGACUUACCAACCCGAUGCAAACUGCGAAUACCGGAGAAUGUUAUCACGGGAGACACACGGCGGGUGCUAACGUCCGUCGUGAAGAGGGAAACAACCCAGACCGCCAGCUAAGGUCCCAAAGUCAUGGUUAAGUGGGAAACGAUGUGGGAAGGCCCAGACAGCCAGGAUGUUGGCUUAGAAGCAGCCAUCAUUUAAAGAAAGCGUAAUAGCUCACUGGUCGAGUCGGCCUGCGCGGAAGAUGUAACGGGGCUAAACCAUGCACCGAAGCUGCGGCAGCGACGCUUAUGCGUUGUUGGGUAGGGGAGCGUUCUGUAAGCCUGUGAAGGUGUGCUGUGAGGCAUGCUGGAGGUAUCAGAAGUGCGAAUGCUGACAUAAGUAACGAUAAAGCGGGUGAAAAGCCCGCUCGCCGGAAGACCAAGGGUUCCUGUCCAACGUUAAUCGGGGCAGGGUGAGUCGACCCCUAAGGCGAGGCCGAAAGGCGUAGUCGAUGGGAAACAGGUUAAUAUUCCUGUACUUGGUGUUACUGCGAAGGGGGGACGGAGAAGGCUAUGUUGGCCGGGCGACGGUUGUCCCGGUUUAAGCGUGUAGGCUGGUUUUCCAGGCAAAUCCGGAAAAUCAAGGCUGAGGCGUGAUGACGAGGCACUACGGUGCUGAAGCAACAAAUGCCCUGCUUCCAGGAAAAGCCUCUAAGCAUCAGGUAACAUCAAAUCGUACCCCAAACCGACACAGGUGGUCAGGUAGAGAAUACCAAGGCGCUUGAGAGAACUCGGGUGAAGGAACUAGGCAAAAUGGUGCCGUAACUUCGGGAGAAGGCACGCUGAUAUGUAGGUGAAGCGACUUGCUCGUGGAGCUGAAAUCAGUCGAAGAUACCAGCUGGCUGCAACUGUUUAUUAAAAACACAGCACUGUGCAAACACGAAAGUGGACGUAUACGGUGUGACGCCUGCCCGGUGCCGGAAGGUUAAUUGAUGGGGUUAUCCGUAAGGAGAAGCUCUUGAUCGAAGCCCCGGUAAACGGCGGCCGUAACUAUAACGGUCCUAAGGUAGCGAAAUUCCUUGUCGGGUAAGUUCCGACCUG
rnacentral:rRNA from 1 species